CGUGGGGAGCAAACAGGAUUAGAUACCCUGGUAGUCCACGCCGUAAACGAUGAGUGCUAGGUGUUGGGGGGUUCCACCCUCAGUGCUGAAGUUAACACAUUAAGCACUCCGCCUGGGGAGUACGACCGCAAGGUUGAAACUCAAAGGAAUUGACGGGGGCCCGCACAAGCAGUGGAGCAUGUGGUUUAAUUCGAAGCAACGCGAAGAACCUUACCAGGUCUUGACAUCCUUUGACCACUCUAGAGAUAGAGCUUUCCCCUUCGGGGGACAAAGUGACAGGUGGUGCAUGGUUGUCGUCAGCUCGUGUCGUGAGAUGUUGGGUUAAGUCCCGCAACGAGCGCAACCCUUGACCUUAGUUGCCAGCAUUCAGUUGGGCACUCUAAGGUGACUGCCGGUGACAAACCGGAGGAAGGUGGGGAUGACGUCAAAUCAUCAUGCCCCUUAUGACCUGGGCUACACACGUGCUACAAUGGAUGAUACAAAGGGUUGCGAAGCCGCGAGGCCAAGCCAAUCCCAAAAAGUCAUUCUCAGUUCGGAUUGUAGGCUGCAACUCGCCUACAUGAAGCCGGAAUUGCUAGUAAUCGCGGAUCAGCAUGCCGCGGUGAAUACGUUCCCGGGCCUUGUACACACCGCCCGUCACACCACGAGAGUUUGUAACACCCGAAGUCGGUGGGGUAACCCUUUUGGAG
rnacentral:rRNA from 1 species